rnacentral:rRNA from 1 species
GAUGAACGCUGGCGGCGUGCCUAAUACAUGCAAGUCGAGCGAACGGACGAGAAGCUUGCUUCUCUGAUGUUAGCGGCGGACGGGUGAGUAACACGUGGAUAACCUACCUAUAAGACUGGGAUAACUUCGGGAAACCGGAGCUAAUACCGGAUAAUAUUUUGAACCGCAUGGUUCAAAAGUGAAAGACGGUCUUGCUGUCACUUAUAGAUGGAUCCGCGCUGCAUUAGCUAGUUGGUAAGGUAACGGCUUACCAAGGCAACGAUGCAUAGCCGACCUGAGAGGGUGAUCGGCCACACUGGAACUGAGACACGGUCCAGACUCCUACGGGAGGCAGCAGUUGGGAAUCUUCCGCAAUGGGCGAAAGCCUGACGGAGCAACGCCGCGUGAGUGAUGAAGGUCUUCGGGUCGUAAAACUCUGUUAUUAGGGAAGAACAUAUGUGUAAGUAACUGUGCACAUCUUGACGGUACCUAAUCAGAAAGCCACGGCUAACUACGUGCCAGCAGCCGCGGUAAUACGUAGGUGGCAAGCGUUAUCCGGAAUUAUUGGGCGUAAAGCGCGCGUAGGCGGUUUUUUAAGUCUGAUGUGAAAGCCCACGGCUCAACCGUGGAGGGUCAUUGGAAACUGGAAAACUUGAGUGCAGAAGAGGAAAGUGGAAUUCCAUGUGUAGCGGUGAAAUGCGCAGAGAUAUGGAGGAACACCAGUGGCGAAGGCGACUUUCUGGUCUGUAACUGACGCUGAUGUGCGAAAGCGUGGGGAUCAAACAGGAUUAGAUACCCUGGUAGUCCACGCCGUAAACGAUGAGUGCUAAGUGUUAGGGGGUUUCCGCCCCUUAGUGCUGCAGCUAACGCAUUAAGCACUCCGCCUGGGGAGUACGACCGCAAGGUUGAAACUCAAAGGAAUUGACGGGGACCCGCACAAGCGGUGGAGCAUGUGGUUUAAUUCGAAGCAACGCGAAGAACCUUACCAAAUCUUGACAUCCUUUGACAACUCUAGAGAUAGAGCCUUCCCCUUCGGGGGACAAAGUGACAGGUGGUGCAUGGUUGUCGUCAGCUCGUGUCGUGAGAUGUUGGGUUAAGUCCCGCAACGAGCGCAACCCUUAAGCUUAGUUGCCAUCAUUAAGUUGGGCACUCUAAGUUGACUGCCGGUGACAAACCGGAGGAAGGUGGGGACGACGUCAAAUCAUCAUGCCCCUUAUGAUUUGGGCUACACACGUGCUACAAUGGACAAUACAAAGGGCAGCGAAACCGCGAGGUCAAGCAAAUCCCAUAAAGUUGUUCUCAGUUCGGAUUGUAGUCUGCAACUCGACUACAUGAAGCUGGAAUCGCUAGUAAUCGUAGAUCAGCAUGCUACGGUGAAUACGUUCCCGGGUCU